rnacentral:tRNA from 1 species
GGGCCUGUAGCUCAGCGGUUAGAGCAGCGGACUCAUAAUCCGUUGGUCGUAGGUUCAAUCCCUACCAGGCCCACCA